UUUUUNUGCAAUACUCUCCUAACCUAAGGUGCUCAGCGUUGGAUGCCUUGACUCAUCAAUUUUUUGAUGAGCUUCGUGAUCCGAAUACCCGACUGCCCAAUGGACGCUUCCUUCCACCGCUAUUCAACUUUAAGGCUAAUGAAUUGAAGGGUGUGGCUGUUGAGAUAUCGGGGAAAUUGAUACCAGAACAUGCAAGAAAACAGUGUCCAUUUCCUGGGUUGUGAAUUUGAUUAGAAACGUAACCAUUUCACGGGUGGUGUCGUGUUGACAACGAAAGGCUACGGCGUCCCAGUCUGUGCUAUUCCUUCUGUUUGCUGCUAUGAGUAUAUCUCUGUAUUACCUUACCUACUUCUACCUUGUUUUGAAAGAGCAGAUCUAGAUAUGUUCUUAAUGAAUGGGUAACAACUCUCUCUAUAUCUAAUGUUCCAUGUGUAUCGAAUUCGGGUUCGGGUGUUUUAAUGUGUAUUAGGAUUUGGAUGUAGUUAAGGUGAAGUUGGCAGCGGAUCUCUUGGUCCGGCUGCCCUCGACGUGCAGAUGAUGAUGAUGAUAUGAUAUGAUAUGAUGUAUCUACUUCCUCGUGUACACUUUUAUGAACAUGGACUUUCAUCUUCUUUCUGCUC